rnacentral:rRNA from 1 species
GCAUAACGCGAAGAACCUUACCUGGCCUUGACAUUGAUAGAAUCUGCUAGAGAUAGCGGAGUGCCCUUCGGGGAGCUUGAAAACAGGUGCUGCACGGCUGUCGUCAGCUCGUGUCGUGAGAUGUUGGGUUAAGUCCCGCAACGAGCGCAACCCUCGUCACUAGUUACUAACGGUUCGGCCGAGGACUCUAGUGAGACUGCCUUCGUAAGGAGGAGGAAGGUGAGGACGACGUCAAGUCAUCAUGGCCCUUACGGCCAGGGCGACACACGUGCUACAAUGGGAUGUACAAUGAGACGCAAUACCGCGAGGUGGAGCAAAUCUAUAAACAUCUCUCAGUUCGGAUUGUAGUCUGCAACUCGACUACAUGAGGCUGGAAUCACUAGUAAUCGUAGAUCAGCCAUGCUACGGUGAAUACGUUCCCGGGUCUUGUACACACCG